UACAGAGGGUGCGAGCGUUAAUCGGAAUUACUGGGCGUAAAGCGUGCGUAGACGGUUACAUAAGCCGGGUGUGAAAACUCCGGGCUCAACUCGGAGACGCCACUCGAUACUGCCAUGACUCGAGUCCGGUAGGGGAGUGCGGAAUUCCUGGUGUAGCGGUGAAAUGCGCAGAUAUCAGGAGGAACACCGGUGGCGAAGGCGGCACUCUGGGCCGGUACUGACGCUGAGGAGCGAAAGCGUGGGGAGCGAACAGG
rnacentral:rRNA from 1 species